rnacentral:rRNA from 1 species
AGUGAACGCUGGCGGUAGGCCUAACACAUGCAAGUCGAACGGCAGCACAGUAAGAGCUUGCUCUUACGGGUGGCGAGUGGCGGACGGGUGAGGAAUACAUCGGAAUCUACUUUUUCGUGGGGGAUAACGUAGGGAAACUUACGCUAAUACCGCAUACGACCUACGGGUGAAAGCAGGGGAUCUUCGGACCUUGCGCGAUUGAAUGAGCCGAUGUCGGAUUAGCUAGUUGGCGGGGUGAAGGCCCACCAAGGCGACGAUCCGUAGCUGGUCUGAGAGGAUGAUCAGCCACACUGGAACUGAGACACGGUCCAGACUCCUACGGGAGGCAGCAGUGGGGAAUAUUGGACAAUGGGCGCAAGCCUGAUCCAGACAUACCGCGUGGGUGAAGAAGGCCUUCGGGUUGUAAAGCCCUUUUGUUGGGAAAGAAAAGCAGCAGGUUAAUACCCCGCUGUUCUGACGGUACCCAAAGAAUAAGCACCAGCUAACUUCGUG